ACCCGUCGGCUGUCAGCGG
rnacentral:siRNA from 1 species